GUCAGGAUGGCCGAGCGGUCUAAGGCGCCAGACUCAAGUGUAACAACUUGUUCUGUUUCCAAACAGAAUUCAAAUUCAAUGUGAGAUUUCUGGUCCUCUCUGAGGGCGUGGGUUCAAAUCCCACUCCUGACA
rnacentral:tRNA from 1 species